ensembl:lncRNA
UAUAAACACGUUCUCUGCUAAAUGCAGCAUCUGCCAAAUCUUCCAAAAGAGCAAGAUGAUUCGAUUUCCCAUUAUCUCAGUGUUUUAUAGUGUUUACACAAUGGCUUCAUUUUAACACAUCAAAUCAAAUGUAUUUAUAAAGCCCUUCUCACAUCAGCUGAUGUCUCAAAGUGCUGUACAGAAACCCAGCCUAAAACCCCAAACAGUAAGCAAUGCAGGUGUAGAAGCACGGCAUGGUCAUGCUACUACAGUAAUAAAUUACUGUACUUUAUAUAGAUUAUUAUUGUAACAAAUGUACUGAUGUGAUCAAAUGAUGAUAUAGCCUGUCAAGAUAUGUUACAUGAAUUCACAAUAGAAUUAUAAUAAAAUGAAACAUUUAUUGAAUUAUUACUCUCACAAUUUCACACAUUUUCAACAUAUAGUUUCCCCAUUUGACGCUUGACAAGCAGUUCCCUUAUUCCACCACUAUGCCUAUGCAUGGUCAUGGCUGUACGUACAUUUACGCACACUCAAGCAAAUGUUCAUAUUGAUAAGUUUCACACAUUGCGUAGAAAUGAUCCCAUGCAUGGUUUACGCACAGAUAUGUGCCUGAUUGAUAAAUGAGGGCCUAGGUGUGAUGAAUUUAGGAAAUCACUGAACGAUUCAAUUGCUCCGUGUGGUGCCUAGUUGGGACAAAAUCCUACAGUACCUGCAGCUCUCCAGAAACCGGGUUGUCUCCUCCUGGUCAACAGGGUUAUGGUUAGGUCUGGUACUCUACAGGGUUAUGGUUAGGUCUGGUACUCUACAGGGUUAUGGUUAGGUCUGGUACUCUACAGGGUUAUGGUUAGGUCUGGUACUCUACAGGGUUAUGGUUAGGUCUGGUACUCUACAGGGUUAUGGUUAGGUCUGGUACUCUACAGGGUUAUGGUUAGGUCUGGUACUCUACAGGGUUAUGGUUAGGUCUGGUACUCUACAGGGUUAUGGUUAGGUCUGGUACUCUACAGGGUUAUGGUUAGGUCUGGUACUCUACAGGAUUGUCUCCUCCUGGUCUAGAGGUUUAUGGUUGGGUCUGGUAUUCUACAUAGAGCUCUAGAGAGACAGAGAGCUUUGUCAUCUGGGUUUUUAUUGGUUCUUUUAGGAUCAGGCAGUUUAUUUUCAGAGACAUUUACAUCAUACAGUAUAAUUUACAUUAAUAUAGAUAAAAUAACAUAAAUUACACUAAUAUAGAUAAUCUAACAUCAUUAGAUAUAUCAUGUUGCAUACACACAGGGCCAAUCUAAAAUGGCACCAAACUCCUCUACAGAGCCCUGUUCCCUUCAUAGUACACUACUAUAGACCAGAGCCCUGUUCCCUUCAUAGUGCACUACUUUAGACCAGAGCCCUGUUCCCUUCAUAGUGCACUACUAUAGACCAGAGCACUGUUCCCUUCAUAGUGCACUACUUUAGACCAGAGCCCUGUUCCCUGUCAUAGUACACUACUAUAGACCAGAGCCCUGUUCCCUUCAUAGUGCACUACUAUAGACCAGAGCCCUGUUCCCUUCAUAGUGCACUACUAUAGACCAGAGCCCUGUUCCCUUCAUAGUGCACUACUUUAGACCAGAGCACUGUUCCCUUCAUAGUGCACUACUAUAGACUAGAGCCCUGUUCCCUUCAUAGUGCACUACUAUAGACCAGAGUCUUAUGGAACCCUACUCCCUUCAUAGUGCACUACUUUAGACCAGAGUCCUAUGGAACCCUACUCCCUUCAUAGUGCACUACUUUAGACCAGAUGUAUUAGACAGCUUUGGGAGACUUUGGCCCAAAGUAAUUGACUAUAGUGUUGUAAUAGUGCUCACUAUAGGGAAUAGGUUGACGCCAGCCGCUCCUCAUUCACUCAGCCUAUUGAGUCCACUGAUCCCACUCACACAGAACUACCUUACGCUUUGGCCUCUUUCUCCCCUCUCUCUCCAGAUAAAAUCCUGCGACUAGUGAUGUCCGUCCGCCCGACAUCCUGCCUGCUCAACCCUUCCUCCCUUCUCCACACCAUCUCUGGAGACCUCCUCUUCCUCACUUCCCUCAUCAACUCAUCCCCAUCCCCUCCUCCCUUCUCCACACCAUCUCUGGAGACCUCCCCUUCCUCACUUCCCUCACCCCCAUCCCCUCCUCCCUUCUCCACACCAUCUCUGGAGACCUCCUCUUCCUCACUUCCCUCAUCAACUCAUCCCCAUCCCCUCCUCCCUUCUCCACACCAUCUCUGGAGACCUCCCCUUCCUCACUUCCCUCACCCCCAUCCCCUCCUCCCUUCUCCACACCAUCUCUGGAGACCUCCUCUUCCUCACUUCCCUCAUCAACUCAUCCCCAUCCCCUCCUCCCUUCUCCACACCAUCUCUGGUGACCUCCCCUUCCUCACUUCACUCAUCAACUCAUCCCUGACCACUGACUUCAAGAUGGCCCGAGUCGCUCCUCUCCUCAAGAAACCAACACUCGACCCAUAUACUGUAUACUGUUAUCUUCAUGUAUAGAUGAUACUGUAUAUAUCCCCAUGUUAACAUGCUAUAUAUACUGUUAUAUUCAUGUAUCGAUGAUAUACACUCUCCGGCCAGUUUAUUAGGUCCGCCGCCCAUUUCACAAAACUGGGUUACAGACAGUGAGUUGUGUGGCUGUGUCUUGCUAUAUAAAGCAGGCAUCGAGGCAUUCAGUUACUGUUCAACUGAAUGUUAGAAUGGGCAAAACUAUGUGCCAAGCGCGCCAAAUUCAGUAUCUCAGAAAACAGUUUGUUGAUGAGCGAGGUCCAAGAAGAAUCUGUCUGUCUGUCUCUGUCUGUCUGCCUGAAAUUUUUCCUGUCUGUCUGCAUAUCUGCCUGUCUGCCUGUCUAUCUGUCUGUCCAUCUAUCUGCCUGCCUGCCCGUCCGUCCGUCUGUCUGUUCGUUUAUCUGCCUGUCUGCAUAUCUUCCUCUCCAUCUGUCCAUCCAUCUAUCUGCCUAUCUGUCUGCCUAUCUGUCUGCCUGUCUGUCUGUCUGCCUAUCUGUCUGCCUGUCUGUCUGCCUGCCUGUCUGUCUGUGGUCUGCUAUAGAAACAUGCAGUUAAUACAUAGAGGAAGCCAUAUAUGAUGAAUGUCUACCUGCCUGCCCGCCUGCCUGUCCAUCUAUCUGCCUGCCUUUUAACAUAUAUAUUUUUUACCCCCUUUUCGUGGUAUCCAAUUGGUAGUUACAGUCUUGUCUCAUCGCUGCAACUCCCAUACGGACUCGGGUGAGGUGAAGGUCGAGAGCCGUGCGUCCUCCGAAACACAACCCAACCAAGCCGCACUGCUUCUUGACACAAUGCCCACUUAACCCGGAAGCCAGCCGCACCAAUGUGUUGGAGGAAACAAUGUACACCUGGCGACCAUGCACUGCACCCAGGAGUCGCUAGUGCGCUAUGGAACAAGGACAUCCCUGCCGGCCAGCUGCAACAGAGCCUGGACUGGAACCCAGAAUCUCUAGUGACACAGCUAGCACUGUGAUGCAGUGCCUUAGACCACGGCGCCACUCUGGAGGCCUGUCUGUGUGUCUGCGUGUCCGUCAGUCUCCGUGCCCGCCUGUCUACCUGUCCGCGUGUCCGGCUGUCUGCCUGUCUACCUGUCUGCGUGUCUGCUUGUCUGCGUGUCUGCCUGUCUACCUGUCUGCGUGUCUGCCUGUCUACCUCUCUAACUGUCUGCCUGUCUACCUGUCCGCAUGUCCAGCUGUCUGCCUGUCUACCUGUCUGCGUGUCUGCCUGUCUACCUGCCGCGUGUCCGGCUGUCUACCUGUCUGCCUGUCUGUCUGUGUGUCCGUCAGUAUGCGUGUCUACCUGUCUGCGUGUCUACCUGCCUGCGUGUCUGCCUGUCUGCGUGUCUGCCUCUGCGUGUCUACCUGCCUGCGUGUCUGCCUGUCUGUGUGUCUGCCCUGUCUGCCUGUCUGUCUGCCUGUCUGCGU